GCGGGUGYGGCGGAAUUGGCAGACGCWCUAGACUUAGGAUUUAGCGCUUUACGGCGUGAGGGUUCGACUCCCUUCACCCGCA
rnacentral:tRNA from 1 species